rnacentral:tRNA from 1 species
GGCGGAGUGGCGCAGUGGAAGCGUGCUGGGCCCAUAACCUAGAGGUCCGUGGAUCGAAACCGCGCUCUGCUA